GAGCGGUAUAGGCCUGAGCCUCUGGGCACUGCGGCCGCGUCCGGCAGGGCUGCCACGGCAGUACAGGGCCUGCACAUCCGGGAGCUCACGCCCUCCUGCGCGUAGCCCGCUAGUGAGGUUCCGAAGGGCGGGGCCGGGCCGAACCGGAUAUGCCGGUUCUGGGGCUCAGGUGACAAACCCAGGCCUUCCGCCCCUCGCCUCUGGUGGGGAUCCGGCCCAACCCGGAGCUUCCUAGACUUGCUUCCAGGUGUCGAAGCCUCGAGUCCUCAAGAGGUCCAGCAAAAAGGCAAAGGACGCAGGAGGCUGUUCGAUCUCGCUGUUGUCGCCCAGGCUGGAGUACAAUGGCGGGAUCUCGGCUCACUGCAACCUCCGCCUCCCGAGUUCAAGCGAUUCUAGUACCUCAGCCUCCGGAGUAGCUGGGAUUAAAGGGGGGAGCCACCACCUACGGCUAAUUUUUGUAUUUUUAAUAGAGACACGGUUUCACCAUGUUGGCCAGGCUGGUCUCGAACUCCUGACCUCAACCAAUCCACCCGCCUGGGCCUCCCAAAGUGUUGGGAUUACAGGCGUGAGCCACCGCACCCGGCCCACUAAUGUUUUUCUUCAGCAUAUCAUUCUGAACACUUCUUUCACCUCUAAACAUCUACUAUUUCUUUUAAGCUUCACUCUUUAUAUGCAUUUUCUCUAUAGAGCUAUAUAAAUUAGGAAAUGUCUUAAUAGAAAACUCAAAACAUGACAGAAUAAAAAAUAAUUGAUUCUCCCAUCUCUGUCUGUUAGCUGUUUCAGUCCUGGAAGGCAAUCACUUAGCAUUUAAUAAUGUAUCUUUCCCUACAUAUUUGUAAGUAAUACAUUAAAAUAUAGGGAUACUUCUUUUUACACAAAAGGUAACACACUAUAUACGCUGUUCAGUCCUUUUUUUCUCACUUCAAAUAUCUUGGAUAGGCUGGGCACAGUGGCUCAGGCCUAUGAUCCCAACACUUUAGGAGGCCGAGGGGGGCUGAUCGCUUGAGACCAGGAGUUUGAGACCAACCCCGGCAACAUGGCAAAACCCCAUCCCUAUGAAAAAUACAAAAAUUAGCCGGGCGUGGUGGUGCAUGCGUAUAGUCCCACCUACUCUGGAGACUGAGGUGGGAGGAUCACUUGAGCCUAGGAGGUCGGUGCUGCAGUGAGCCGGGAGCUUGCCAUCCAGCCUGGAUGAGAGUGAGACCCUGUCUCAAAAAAAGAAAAAAGAAAAAAAUGUCUUGGACAUCCUGCCAUAUCAGUAUAUAAUGAACUACCUUUUUCUUCCUAGAGGCAGAAUAAUAUUCCACUUAUGCAAACAUCCUAAUUUAUUUAACCAAUCCCCUACAGGUGGAUAUUCCGCUUGUUGCCAAGCCAUUACUAUUACAUGCUAAGCUGCAAUGAAUAACCUCAUACAAGACAGGGCAACAUAGUGAGACCCCAUCUCUACAAAAAAUAAAAAAUUAGCCGUUUGUGGUGGCACAGGCUUGUGGUCCUAACUACUAGAGAGGCUGAGGUGGGAGAAUCGUUUGUACCCAGGAGAUGAAGGCUGCAAUGAGCCCUAAUCGCACCACUGCACUCCAGUCUCAGUGACAGAGCAAGACCCUGUCUCAAAAAAGUUAAAAUAAUUAAAAACGAAAAACAACUCC
rnacentral:lncRNA from 1 species